rnacentral:snRNA from 1 species
GUGCUCGCUUCGGCAGCACAUAUACUAAAAUUGGAACGGUACAGAGAUUAGCAUGGCCCCUGCACAAGGAUGACACGCAAACUCGUGAAGCGUUCCAUAUUUUU